CGAAUGGCGUAACGACUUCCCCACUGUCUCCAGCAUAGACUCAGUGAAAUUGAACUCUCCGUGAAGAUGCGGAGUUCCUGCGGUCAGACGGAAAGACCCCGUGAACCUUUACUAUAGCUUCACAGUGGACUUUGACUUUACUUGUGUAGGAUAGCUGGGAGGCUUUGAAUCUGCGUCGCCAGGCGUGGAGGAGCCGUUGUUGAAAUACCAGCCUUUGUUUGAUCGGGGCCUAACCCCUAACGGGGGACAGUGCGUGGUGGGUAGUUUGACUGGGGUGGUCGCCUCC
rnacentral:rRNA from 1 species